GUCAACCAUUUGUUUUGCCUUGGCUAAGAAAGGGAGUGAAGAGAAUAUGAGCUCAAGAGAGGGAGAAAGAGCCGAGAGAGAGGAAGCCACUGUUUUGUAUGCUGGUGCUUGAGUUAAAGAAAGAAAUUGGGAACAAAGAAGAAAGUAAAGGGUGACAAAGAGAAGACUCAAGAAAUUCAACCAUUAAAGAAAAAGGGUCACGCGCCAUUGUCUGCCUGAUUUGUCUGAUAUGUCCAGUCCGUCUGACUUGCUUCUGCGGCUCUGUGAUCAGGCGCGUGACCAGGCUUAGAGGCAUCUGCCUAAAAUCUGUUUUGUCAGCCAACCUAUGUGCCUCCCGUGGAGGUUCCGGAUAUGUCAAGUGAUUAUCACUAUGUGAUUUAAAGUUUAAGUCCUUUUGUCUGAUCUGUAUAUAUAUUAUGACUUAAAGAUAAUGUGCAUAUGUGUAUAGAAAAAGUUUAAAAUUUUUCUGUCUCA